UAUGCACGCUGGCGGCGUGCCUAAUACAUGCAAGUCGAGCGAACGGACGAGAAGCUUGCUUCUCUGAUGUUAGCGGCGGACGGGUGAGUAACACGUGGAUAACCUACCUAUAAGACUGGGAUAACUUCGGGAAACCGGAGCUAAUACCGGAUAAUAUUUUGAACCGCAUGGUUCAAAAGUGAAAGACGGUCUUGCUGUCACUUAUAGAUGGAUCCGCGCUGCAUUAGCUAGUUGGUAAGGUAACGGCUUACCAAGGCAACGAUGCAUAGCCGACCUGAGAGGGUGAUCGGCCACACUGGAACUGAGAAACGGUCCAGACUCCUACGGGAGGCAGCAGUAGGGAAUCUUCCGCAAUGGGCGAAAGCCUGACGUAGCAACGCCGCGUGAGUGAUGAAGGUCUUCGGCUCGUAAAACUCUGUUAUUAGGGAAGAACAUAUGUGUAAGUAACUGUGCACAUCUUGACGGUACCUAAUCAGAAAGCCACGGCUAACUACGUG
rnacentral:rRNA from 1 species